UACGGGGGGGGCAAGCGUUGUUCGGAAUUACUGGGCGUAAAGGGCUCGUAGGCGGCCCACUAAGUCAGACGUGAAAUCCCUCGGCUUAACCGGGGAACUGCGUCUGAUACUGGAGGGCUCGAGUUUGGGAGAGGGAUGCGGAAUUCCAGGUGUAGCGGUGAAAUGCGUAGAUAUCUGGAGGAACACCGGUGGCGAAGGCGGCAUCCUGGACCAACACUGACGCUGAGGAGCGAAGGCGUGGGGAGCAAACGGG
rnacentral:rRNA from 1 species